rnacentral:misc_RNA from 1 species
GCUGGUGCGCCUACACCUUGCUGUUGAUGGCUUUCUACUGGUCGGCGGAAGUGGUACCGCUGGCGGUAACUUCGCUCAUGCCGGUCUUCCUGUUUCCGUUCUUGGGGAUCGUGCCGUCCAGCAAAGUAGCCACCUUUUACCUGAAUGACCUCGGAAUGAUAUUGCUGUGUUCACUAGUCAUGGCCUGGAGCGGUGGAAACUAGCAAUCUGCACAAGAGGAUAGCCCUCAGGUCUUUACUCGCCAUUGGGACAAGUAA